GUUAAAUCAGUGUAGAUGAAGGGUAGGAAACAGGUUAAAUCAGUGUAGAUGAAGGGUAGGAAACAGGUUAAAUCAGUGUAGAUGAAGGGUAGGAAACAGGUUAAAUCAGUGUAGAUGAAGGGUAGGAAACAGGUUAAAUCAGUGUAGAUGAAGGGUAGGAAACAGGUUAAAUCAGUGUAGAUGAAGGGUAGGAAACAGGUUAAAUCAGUGUAGAUGAAGGGUAGGAAACAGGUUAAAUCAGUGUAGAUGAAGGGUAGGAAACAGGUUAAAUCAGUGUAGAUGAAGGGUAGGAAACAGGUUAAAUCAGUGUAGAUGAAGGGUAGGAAACAGGUUAAAUCAGUGUAGAUGAAGGGUAGGAAACAGGUUAAAUCAGUGUAGAUGAAGGGUAGGAAACAGGUUAAAUCAGUGUAGAUGAAGGGUAGGAAACAGGUUAAAUCAGUGUAGAUGAAGGGUAGGAAACAGGUUAAAUCAGUGUAGAUGAAGGGUAGGAAACAGGUUAAAUCAGUGUAGAUGAAGGGUAGGAAACAGGUUAAAUCAGUGUAGAUGAAGGGUAGGAAACAGGUUAAAUCAGUGUAGAUGAAGGGUAGGAAACAGGUUAAAUCAGUGUAGAUGAAGGGUAGGAAACAGGUUAAAUCAGUGUAGAUGAA